rnacentral:misc_RNA from 1 species
GAUGAAGAACGCAGCGAAAUGCGAUAAGUAAUGUGAAUUGCAGAAUUCAGUGAAUCAUCGAAUCUUUGAACGCACCUUGCGCUCCUUGGUAUUCCGAGGAGCAUGCCUGUUUGAGUGCCAUGAAAUUCUCAACCUUUUCAGCUUUCUUUGUUGAUCAGGCUUGGAUGUGGGAGUAUGCGGGCUUCUCAGAAGUCGGCUCUCCUGAAAUGCAUUAGCGGGACCUUUGUUGCCUGGCUUUGGUGUGAUAAUUAUCUACGCCAUUGUGGUCAAGCAGCUUAAAAUGAGGUUUCAGCUUCUAACCGUCUCCCCUGAGACAACUUUUUGACAAUUUGACCUCAAAUCAGGUAGGACUACCCGCUGAACUUAAGCAUAUCAAUAAGCGGAGGA